GUCAUAUUUUAGAGAAUCAGCUUUCAAGGGCCUUCCUGCAGCUUCCCGGGAGCACAAGACAGAUU
rfam:Canis lupus familiaris chromosome 2, whole genome shotgun sequence.